ACUGCCGUGGUGAAGCGGCAACACGUCUGACCCACGGCUUGUCAGAAGACGUGGGUUCGAAUCCCGCCAGCGGCG